rnacentral:rRNA from 1 species
AGGAUGAACGCUGGCGGCGUGCUUAACACAUGCAAGUCGAACGGAGUUUUUAAACGGAAGUUUUCGGAUGGAAGUUUAGAAACUUAGUGGCGGACGGGUGAGUAACGCGUGGGUAACCUGCCUCAUACAGGGGGAUAACAGUUAGAAAUGACUGCUAACACCGCAUAAUAUAGCGAAACCGCAUGAUUUUGCUAUCAAAUAUUUAUAGGUAUGAGAUGGGCCCGCGUCUGAUUAGCUAGUUGGUGGGGUAAAAGCCUACCAAGGCGACGAUCAGUAGCCGGCUUGAGAGAGUGACCGGCCACAUUGGGACUGAGACACGGCCCAAACUCCUACGGGAGGCAGCAGUGGGGAAUAUUGGACAAUGGGGGAAACCCUGAUCCAGCCGACGCCGCGUGAGUGAAGAAGUAUUUCGGUAUGUAAAGCUCUAUCAGCAGGGAAGAUAAUGACAGUACCUGACUAAGAAGCCCCGGCUAACUACGUGCCAGCCGCGGC